rnacentral:misc_RNA from 1 species
AAAAUGAGUAUCCAUUAAUAUGUAAAGAUGUGAAACCAUGACUGAAGGCAGAGCUCAAGACAUAAUGAGAAUUGAGCGUAAAAGAUUCUGACAUGGAAACUACAACUAAGAUGAUUCAAGAAUUUAGAUAAUUUAGGUAAGAAAUCAUGGAAGUAAAAUAGGAAAUAAAAUUCCAGCAAAAUCUUAACUUUGAUAUCAUAUGAAUUCACUGCAACAUUUUAAUUGAUGGGCUGAGCGUGAGGGGGAUAUAUGCAUCAAAGAGACACCUUACUCCUAUGUUCAUGAAGAAGUUUUUUGGAGGUAAAGUAUUGUUUUUAAAGUAAUAGCUUUGUUUGAGAGUAAGGUUAUUUAAGGAAUGUAAGGUUUUUU